rnacentral:rRNA from 1 species
GACGAACGCUGGCGGCGUGCUUAACACAUGCAAGUCGAACGAUGAAGCCUUCGGGUGGAUUAGUGGCGAACGGGUGAGUAACACGUGGUUGAUCUGCCCUGCACUUUGGGAUAAGCCUGGGAAACUGGGUCUAAUACCGAAUAGGACCAUGGCAUUCAUGUGCUGUGGUGGAAAGCUUUUGCGGUGUGGGAUGGGCCCGCGGCCUAUCAGCUUGUUGGUGGGGUAAUGGCCUACCAAGGCGACGACGGGUAGCCGGCCUGAGAGGGUGACCGGCCACACUGGGACUGAGAUACGGCCCAGACUCCUACGGGAGGCAGCAGUGGGGAAUAUUGCACAAUGGGCGCAAGCCUGAUGCAGCGACGCCGCGUGAGGGAUGACGGCCUUCGGGUUGUAAACCUCUUUCAGCAGGGACGAAGCGAAAGUGACGGUACCUGCAGAAGAAGGACCGGCCAACUACGUGCCAGCAGCCGCGGUAAGAC